GCCACCCAGGUGCCCUGACAGAUGUAUGUUCUCAAAGGACUGCUUUGAAUGCUCUAUGGAGGGCAAAUAGGUUGUAGAAAGGCAAAAGUGAAAAUAGUCCAGUUAGUUGGCUAUCUCAGGAGUCCAAGUGAGAGAUGUGGCUGGACUAAGGUGAUGGCAACAGAUUGCUCCUGAAAAGAUUUGUUGAUUUACUGGAUGUUUUGCUAAAGGAAGAAAAUAAUUCCACAGUCUUUUGCUUGAAAACAAUGGGACAAUUUGUAGUGAUAGGAAAGACAGUAGAGAAACAGUCAUGAGACAGCCAAUAAGCCAUUGGAGAUGUUAAGAGGGAGUUUUUCAUAUGAGACAGAAUCUCAGAGGAGAAGUCUGUUCUGGAAUUAGAAUUUCAGCAUUGUUAGCACAUAGACAGUAUUUACAUCAAGGGAAGAGCUGGAGAAAGGAUGUAUAGAUAGAGGAGGGAAAGUGGCUCCAUUUGGAUCCCUGAAGAACUUCAGCACUGAGACAUUGGAUGGAGGAGUUGACCGCGAAGGAGAUGUAGAAGAAAUAGUUGAUCAAAUGUGAUUUCAGUGAAACUAAGAGAGCUAGGCUUUGAGCUUGAAGAACUCCUUUUAGCAAUUCCUAUACAGCAGGUCUAGUGUGAACCUGCUCAGCUUUUGUUUGUCAGAGAAAGUCUUCAGAAGAAGGAGAACUUUGUCAGAAUUUUAUUUGAUAUUUGACAAAGCAAACACGUACUGGAAGGGAGAAUAUAACCGUAACCAAGAAAGGAGAUUUUACUAUGUUUGUGCAGUGGAGGACAUUGGAGAGCAGAGAAAGAAGAGGAAAAUGGAGGGAAGAAUUGAGAAAACAUUUUGGAAUGUUGUAUGCAUGGUCAAAAGAGGUCAAAAGUUAAAGAACCCAGAUGGUGCAUCAGAAUGGCAUUACUACUAGCUCUCUCAAGCCCUCCACCCCCACCCCCCACUUCAAACCCAAAUCUCUUCUCUUAAGAAUAAUGAAAAUGUUAUACUGAUGACAUGGAUGAAUACUAAUCCAUGCGAAAUAUCAAUUUUGUAAAGAAAAUUUAGAAAUAAAAAUUAUUCUAUCCAAAUUCCUCAUUCCUGUGGCUAGUCAAACUUUCCCUAGAUUUAAAUAAUAGCAAAGGAGAGAGCAAUAUUUAUAGUUGACUUUGUCAUUGUGGGAACACAAGCAACCUCAGCCUGAAGGAUGCUGAGACUUCAGAGGCAAGCAGGCAAAGAAAGGAGCAUAUGUUAGGACAAGCUGGCAUAAGAGAACUGGAGAGAAAUGUAAACCAGGCUACUUGUGGUUGUCUUUGCAAAGGCAUUUAGAUUUUAAGUCGUUUUUUAUUGCAGCUGGCAUCCAAUUACAGUGACGUGGCCAUGGGAGCUUAAGGACCAAGCACUGCCACUUUAUUUUUUUAUUGUUGCCUAUAUGCUAUAAAAUGGGUGAGUUUAAUGCCUAGAUCUUUGAGUAUAUGAUUUCUUCUGGAGGCAUGAUAAUCUCACAUCCUUUCAUAAAUGCCAUCUAGUCAUCCUCAUGUGGGCGCUCAGUGAAAGUCUAUAACAUUAUAAGAAAUGGAGUUAAAUAAAAUGCAUUUGAAUUUUAAAAGCUGCCCUUUAUUGCCCAUGAAAUACCCAGAGGUCUCCUUUUAGCACAAGAAGUCUCUUUUACACUUAUGGACAAUGGUAGCUAUUGCAGACCAUUAUAGAGUUAAGUUAGCACUUAGGUAAAAUUUGGUCAUUUUAUAAAAUCCUAAGGAGUCUAUGAUGUUUCCGGUUGUCAGAAAAGGUUCUGAAAAGUUAUCUAUGCUGCUGACACCAUGCACGUAAAAUUAGGUCCUGAAAUGUAGCUUGGACUCGUUGCAAACUGAAAUCUUUUCAAAGGUGAAAACACAGGAAGAAGGGAUCAAAUCAAAGAGUAACCAAAUUUGACAACUGCCACAAAGAGAAAAAUGGGGAAAGAAAUGACACUUUGUGUUUGAUCUUGAUCAUAACAUGGAGAAGUUUCCUCCUAAAAAAAGUGGCUUGAAUUCCCCCCUUUAAUUGAUUGGCAAAUAGACAAUGCUACACCUGUAAGCAGUCAGGUAAUAAGAGCAAUUAAAAACCAACCCUUCCAUUUAAAUAAGACCUUAUCAAAACUUGCUACCAGAACUUCCCUUUUGAAACAAUUCUUUUCAAAGGUUAAUUUCAACUGACAGUUGGAUAUUUAGCAUUCCUUUGUGGAAGUCAUUUCAAUUAAAAAUAGGAAUUUGUGCCUUGGGCCCAA